GUGGAAAAAUCAACAGGUAUGUUAUGUACAAACGUGGGGUAAAGACCAAAAGAAACGACAGGAAAUUGGAAAGCGUUAAACUCUGUAUGUGUGUGUGUGCG